AAACCUCCCCUGGCGCAGCUUAAGACCACGUCCUCUCGUCCUGGGAGAAGAGGCCGACCCCCACCUGGCUAUGGCGUCCUUUAGCUGUGGGCAGGUGGAAGCUCCAUUGCAGGGACAGCCGGGCUGUGCCUGCAGCUGCUGCCCCUGGGCUGCUCAAGAGGCCUGGGGAAACAGCGGUGACGUCUUUACGGAAAAAUACAUCUAUAGAUUCAAGACACUCUUGUGUGCGCUGCUCAGAGGUGGCCGCUUCUGCGAGAAAAGCCCUGCUGCCUUCUUAAGUGACCCGUGUCCAAGUGGGCGCAUAAAGAGAUCAUUUACUUUGUGCUGUGCUCCUACUGACACAGUCUUUGACCUUUGACGCAAUUUGGCAAAUCAGAUGGCUCUUAUUACAAAAGCCUUUGAAACACGCUGUCCCUUCCACCCUGUACUGCCUGCUGGGGACCAGAGUACUUGAAAACAGACACCUGAAGAGAAAAAAGAGAGCCAGUGCAGUUUCCAUAGGAGCUUAAGGAGCUGUCUAGUUUAUCCCAGAUAUUUGUGAGCAGGGGACAGCUCAGCAGUCCUAUUGCCUACUGCAUGAUGUGCCUUGACUGCAAAACCCAUCAACUUCUGGCCAGAGAAGCAGGAAUAAAACCCCUCACAGCUCUCACUGUACGAGUCUACUUGUAGAUGAAGAGUUUAGGUUGUUUUUCCCUGGUUCCCAUUUUUCUCUGAUGAGACGGAGGAAAAACAGUGCUCCAUGGAAACCAGCUCUCCUGGCAUUGGACAAAGAGCAGCAGAUCUCCUGAGCAGAAAUGACCCAGGCAGAAGUGUAUCCAGACUAGCACAGUGAUUUAUUAAGAACAAAACCAGCACAUUACCUGUAAAACAGGGUUUUGGAAGGCAAGUGGAAGGCAGCUGAAGUGGCAGCAGCAUGGAAUUUGAGGUGGCUGGAGAAAGGAGGCAGCAGGUGGAAGAAUAGCUUUGUGAGAAGGCAGCACGCUUGAAGACAAGGCCAGGGUACAACAGCAAGAAUAUGCAGAGGAAUAGAUUUGAAGAGACCAGAAAACAUCCUGUGGCUGCGGUGAAGGGAAGCAGCCACUGUCUUAACACUGACUUUCAAAAAACUGGCAGCAGCUGUGAUUUCUCACAGCACUUUUCAGAGGCAGCCCUACAAAGUCAGCUGUUAAUCCUAAAUCACAGUGUGAACAGCGAAUGAGAUGCUGGAGUGCAUCUUUUCCAAUAUGCUGCUUUACGUCUGGGCUGAAAAUGCAGAGCCACAGUGGAGGAUCCUUUCCACAUGCUGCAGCAUCCAUAAGCAGGCUCUGGGCAGCUGGGAAGGAGACCCAGCUGUUCCACAAGACAUUUCUGAAGGGGCUGACAACCAGUAUUCCUGGCACACAGGAGACAUGGAUCCCUGGUCUUAAUUUCAGGGAAGCCAAGACCAGAAGACCAGCAGUGCAGGUCAGCAUUAAUACCCUAUGCAAGUCAUCAGGACCAGCUCUGAACUCAGCAGUUCUUCUAAGACAUGUGUCUGUUCAUCUGCCUUCCUCAUUCCCAGCGAGCACCCAAAGGACACAUUAAAUAUAACCUCAGACUCUGGUACAGAAAUACAUCACGAAACAUGACCCUCAGGUUUUGGUAGCAGCAGAGGUGCAGGGGUGGCUUCUGUGAAGACAUCAGGAACUGUCCCUGUGCCAGACAGAACCAGUUCCAGCAGGAUGCAAAAAAGAUCUGCUGCUGGUCAAAGCUGAGCUACAGCUCUCUAGGUGUGGCAUCACCAGUGUGGAAUAAGGGGGAAGGACCUUUAAACUUUGCUACCACUCUAAACAAGGUGGCUUUCUCAAAUACUGUAAGAAACAGAGCUAUUCCUGUCCACUAGCCCAUCAGACCAGCCCAUGAGGGAGAUGCCUGGUGACUGCAGGGAGGCAGAAGAACUGAAGCUAAAUACAAUGAUCUAACUAAAGAGACCUCAGUGCAUUUCAAUAGGCAUAGGCUUAGGCAGAAAGACUUCUCAACCCUGGGCUCAGACCUGUAAUAAUUUCCUGACAAAGAAAUCACAGAAAUAUUUUAUAGGAAGUGCCAUCAAGAAGUCAUGUAGUUCACUUCCUUACUAUCCCAGAUUUUUCCCAGAGCUCCUAUUUCCCCAGAGUCAGCUGGAUGUUCCCAGCAUUUUGAGGUGAAAGCUUGGCUGGAGGGUUCGAACAGUACACGGGAAACAACUGUGGUGCAAGCUGUGUGUAAUGAGGGAUGGGCACAGCUGCAGCCAGGCUGGGAGCAGCUGUUUCCACAGGCUCGCAGAAUCCUUUGGGUCCAGCAUAGCAAGUGUGAUGUUAAAACAAAGAAGAAAGCAAAACAAUAUUAAGAACAAAUGUUACAUUCUAUUUGGAUAACAGGAGGGGCCACAAAUAGAACUCAUACUCCCAGUCACUAGGUACGUAAAGAAUUCCAAACUUUAUUUCAUUUCUGCUUUUGCCUGGUGGCAGAUAGCCUGAUGAAAAGCUUAAGAUAAAGGCCAACCAGGGAAUACUUAAAAGCAGGCAGGUAAAACUGAUGUGCAAAAACAUUUACUUAUAUUUUCCUUACAAGAGAGAAGUCAAUACUGUAGGAAACUACAGGUGACUCAGAAAGACGAGGAAGCUCAAGCAGUAGAUGUGAGGAAUCCAAAACAUGCCUAAGAAAUGCUGGCAGCAGCAAACUCUUAAGAUUAAAAUGUCAAGACUACACAGCAUGUGUAUAACCACAUAAGCUCACUGUAGAGGCUGAAUGUGUCAGCAUUACAGUUCUAAACAUUUCUAAUUCCGAGGAAGAAACUGCAGAUGUUUGCAGCUCAAAUUAGAUAUCAGCAUCUCUCCCUAAUAAUGUAUAUGUAUGUAUGUAUGUAUGUAUGUAACUUACAUAAUUAUGUAUGUAUGUAACUAAGGAAAAUGAGGAAAGAAAGGAAAAAAGGAGCUUAGUCCUCUUUUAGGACUUGGAAAUUCAAACAAGAGAGCAGCUAUGAAAUAUUCUAGUCUUGACACACACUCUAUAGAUAAAAGUAACAAUGUGAGAAAAUUAUGUAGGAAGGGAAUGGAACAAGCACUGAAACAGAAAGUGUUGUGGAGUGUCUUUGAUUUUUUUGGCCAAAAACCAUAGGAAAUUUGAUACCAACACACCCAAAAUAUGGCAUUCCCAAAUCAGGCCACAGGCAA